rnacentral:rRNA from 1 species
UACAGAGGGUGCAAGCGUUGUUCGGAAUCACUGGGCUUAAAGGGCGCGUAGGCGGGCUCGCAAGUCAGGGGUGAAAUCCCACGGCUCAACCGUGGAAGUGCCUUUGAUACUGCGGGCCUCGAGGGAGGUAGGGGCGUGCGGAACUUCCGGUGGAGCGGUGAAAUGCGUAGAUAUCGGAAGGAACACCGGUGGCGAAAGCGGCGCGCUGGACCUCUACUGACGCUGAGGCGCGAAAGCCAGGGGAGCAAACGGG